AUCGUACUCAAGUUUCUUCGCCAUAUAAUGAAAAGAACAAGUCAUUCUAGGGUUUAUCUGCGGAACUCUCCCUUUUACUCUCUGUUUUUGUUUUGUUUUGUUUUGGUUUAAAUUUGUUUUGAAAUGUAGAAGAAAAAGUGUUUUAUAGUUUGAAAUCCCAGUGAGGAAGAAUUCCCAUAGAUAGGAAGUGCCGUAUGACACUUUAAUCAGCGGCGGCAACGCGCUAAGGAACAUCCCCGUCUUCCCAACCGCCAAUUCUCAGCCCUCUGAUAUUUGUUCUUAGGUGUUUGAUGGUUGGCCGGGAAAUUAGGCGGGUGCUUCCUCGAAGCGUGUUCUGCUGUGUGAGUGAUUUGAAACGGGUCUCUGAGGGUUUUCUUUUGAAUGAAUUUUUUAUCUAUCAUUUUGGGUCCGAUGCCACGUCGCCGGUAGCCAAGAGCAGUGACCGGCGAUGCUAUGAUUGGACCGAUAUAAAUUUCAUGUUUCGCUUGCUGAUAGGAACCUGUGGAUCUGAAACAUUGUGAUCUACGGAGCCGUUUUUGGCGAUUACAGUUUAUAAAAAUGGAUGGAUUGUGGAAGCCAAUGAGGAUUUCAUUAUUAUAGUUGGAAUUACCGACUGAAUAUUUAAUUUAUUUUGAUGUCAACUCGACUGGCUGUCUGAGGUUUCUUACAAUCUCUUUUUUCUUGCUGGCUUCAUAUUGUAGGAAUUAUUGAGCCAUUUAAAAAAUAAUUAUUUUUGUCAAAUAUGAAAUUGAUUUUAAAAAGUAAAAAAAAAUUGAAGUGAUGAGUCAAAAUUAUCGCAACAAAUUUUCAAUCAAUAAUACAAUCUAAAAUCGAAAUCGAAAUCGAAAUAUCAAACCAGAACCCAAAACUCAAAUAAAAACCCAAAUUGAAACCUCACCCUACACUUAAACUACAACACUUCAUAAACCCAUUUAUUAGCCGUUUCUUUCCAUCUCUCUCGGUAUCCCUGUUUUGUUUUCAUUUUCUUCCUCAUUUCUUAUGCUUUCAUAACAAUUCCUCAAAUAUAUCUCUUCAACCCAAAUCUUCUCCCAUUUCUUUAUUGAGACUCUCUCUCGGUCUCUUUUGAAUUUUUUUCCUCUCAUUUUUUUGCUCUGGGUAACCAAAGGCCAAAACAUACAAACACGCUACACUGUUUUUUGUGGUUUUUGAAAUCCCCUGCUUCAUCGGGGACUGAUUUUGAGUCGGUUUAUUUCUCUGCCGUUUCUUUGUUGCGAUUUUUGUAACCCCUGCUUCAUCGGAGACUGAUUUCAGUGCUUCUAGGUAUUUGGACACUCAUGAAUUGUUUGACGAAAUGUCCCAAACAAUAUUGUAUUCUUGAAACUUGAAAUGGCUAACCAGUGACUCGUUAUAAUAUGUCAAUUAGAGUAUUUUAUUGAGUGAAAUCCAAAGCGAGCGUUUAGUUGCUAGAAAUUGAGAUGUUUUAUUGCUGUGAUUGAGGUGCAUAAAUAUUGUUAAUUGAGAUGUUUAAGUGCUGCAAAUUGAAGUGUUUAAAUGCUGUAAACUGAAGUGUUAAAGUGCUGCAAAUUGAAGUAUUUAAACGCUGUCAUGUUUAUGGCUGUGAUUGAGGUGUAUAAAUGUUGUUAAUUGGGAUGUUAAAGUGUUGUAAGUUGAGGUGUUUAAAUGCUGUAAAUUGAAGUGCUUAAUUGCUGUAAAUUGAGGUGCUUAAAUGAUGUAAAUUGAAGUGUUUAAGUGCUGCAAAUUUCGGUGUAUAAAUGAGUCUAAAAUUAGUUAUUGCACUGCAUUUUUGGUGAUUAAAUGCAGUCGAAAAUAAGUUAGAAAACAAAAUUGCACUUGAUGUUAUUUUAAAACAUGUUAUGUUGUCAUUGUAAGCUGUCUGAAUAUUCGUUUACACUGUCCAAAUAAUCACGAACAUAAGUUGUAUUAUUGAUAUAAAAUAAGUCACUGUAAUGAUGCAAUUUAAGUUGCUUGAACGUUAUAAAUGGAGGUUGGCUUAAUAUGCAAUUGGUA